rnacentral:lncRNA from 1 species
UUGAAAGCGUCUAUUGAGAUUUUUCUAAGCAGAAAUUGUAGUGGGAUUUUUUGGGGGCGGAAAAUUAUGGAUGAUUUUAAGGGGUCAUGGUAAAUUAAAUUUGCGAAUGUACAUAGAACUGUAUAUUAUACUCCCAUAUAAUCGAAGACGAUAGGAACUAUGAAUUAUUUCCAUGGCCCUCGUUGAUAUUGUAGUAUGAAUUUUGCUUUACUGUUCUCUUCAUUUGACUAAUAAUUUAUUAAAAUGCGGCAACAAUUUAAAUUUGGGGACUUUGGGGUAUUUGAGCUUCAAUUUCAGGGAAUUUCAGUUUCUAAGUGGGGGAUUUAUAAAAUAUCAUCUGGCAACUCUGGAUAGAAAGCUCAGUAGGUACUUAAAAUAAAAUUUCAACUUAUGUCGCUCGAUUUGAUUUUUGUAUAAUUUUUAAAAUUGUAUUACCCUUCUAUUCUUAAUUAUUAAAUUACUAGCUUCUAAAUUCACUUGAUUUCUGUCUAAAAACAAGUCAAAAGAUGAACCUAACCUUGCAUAACUACAGAGUUAUCUCAUAACUUGAGGUUUAACGUCGCGUUAUAAAGUGACCAGAUAACUCAAGAACUGUCAAGAAAUAACGCAAAUAGUUAAGUUAAGUAUGAUACAUCACACCAAUUCGAUGGUUAUAACAUAACUACAGGAUAACUUUACGUUAACGAUAACUUCGGUCAUCCAUCACAGGGCAGAUUAACCAGAUAGACUCUCAGAGGUUUAAAUAGGUACAAGAAAAUAGAGAAAAACUACGACUAAUAAUAUAACCUAUAUUGUUAAGUCGACAAAGUACCCUCUAAGGCCCGUAUUUAUAGUCGAGUCUCAAGACAGCGUCGAUGCUCAAGACCGACCUUGAACCAACUUUGUGUUUUAUAAACCGAUCUCGAGACCCGACGCAGUCUUGGGAAGUGUAAAAUGACAGGCGAAUCUCAAGUCAUCGAUCGACCUUCCUCAAGACCGCGAUUCUAACCUAACUUUGUUUGUUAUUGUUUGAAUUUUGAAUAUUUUUAAUUCAGUUCCAACAUAUAUUUUUUGUUUUUCUAAUUACAAUAAAAAUGUAUGAAGAAGUAAAAGCAUUUUUAGAGUUUAUUGAUAAUAUUGGAGAAGAAAAUCGCCCAGGAAGUAUACAAAAGCGAUAUAUUCAAGAUAAAAAUAUAAUCUAAAAUACAAUGGAGUAUUACAAUAUUGAAAUUCAUCAGCGAAUCAGCGCAUUAACUUAAACAACAAAGGUUUUAUGCUACUUAUAGGAAUAUAACCAGUUUUUAUAAGGAAGCCCACUUUCCAAAAAUGUACAGGUACUAGAAGAGAAAUUAUGUAUAUUAUUGUAUUGUUCAACAAGAAGGUUAUCAAGUUAUUCAAUAUUUGAUCUAAGAGCAUUAAGAGUGAAAUUGUGAAAUGGAAAGAAGUGAAAUUCCAGGAUUAUUAAUAGGAAUAGAUGACAGUAGUGGGUAUGCAUGCAGACACUAUCUACUUACCCCAGUAUUACAGCCAGGUAAUGAUCAAGAAAAUAAGAUAUUUUUACCAUAGUACUCAUGUGAGAACAAGAAAUGUAGAAAAGCUAUUUGGAACCUGGAAAAGAGAGUUUCCUUGUCUUCAACAAGGUCUACAAACCACAUUAUAUACAUGUCUUGCAAUAAUAUGUGCUACAGCAGUACCUUAUAAUCUAGGUAAAUAAUGAUCUGGUGGUAAAUAGACAUGUUAAUGAUGUGGAACAAUCUCUAAAUUUUUGGUGACAUUUUUUUCAACAAUGUUUUGCAUGAGAAUAUAUUAUUGAAUACCUACUCUUAUUGUGUUUGAUUUUUUUGUCGUAUUAUUUCUCAAAAUGUCAUCAUGAUCAUUGUUCGACAACCCUUUUUGUUUGAGUUUUGGUCUCUUGAGGAAUACAGCUCCAUUCCAGUCUAUUUCAGGAUUUGUUCUUACAAUUUUUUAUUUUUAAAAUAUCAAUGUCUUAUUCUAUUUGUUCCUUAUAUCUAAUCUAUAGUCUUUCUCUCGUUAUAUGUCCAGCUGACAUUUGUGUGUUUAUUUUGGAAAGUAUUUCAUAUGCUUCAAUCCUUCCUCUUAGAACGUGGUCCUAUUUUGAUGAAUGUAUAUGGAUCGUGGUAUGCCCUGUAUUGUUCAAAAUUAUAUUUCAUAUGCUUCCAUCCUUCCUCUUAGAACGUGGUCCUAUUUUGAUGAAUGUAUAUGGAUCGUGGUAUGCCCUGUAUAGUUCAAAAUUAUAUUUCAUAUGCUUCCAUCCUUCCUCUUAGAACGUGGUCCUAUUUUGAUGAAUGUAUAUGGAUCGUGGUAUGCCCUAUGCCCUGUAUAGUUCAAAAUUAUAUCUUCUCUGGUCUUCAUAUUUUAGAUGCUAUUUAGCCUGAUUCUAGUGCUUUAUCGUUAUUUCCAGUGCUUUAUCAAUUUAUCAUCAUUUAUUUUACCUACCUGUCUACUGCUACUCUACUUUCACCAUAUAUUUUUGGAAUAUAAAUAUAUAGUAACCUUCUGUCUUUCUCUUGUUCAACUGGAAUUUGUUUAUUUAUUCUGAGAUUAUUGAAUUUAUGAAUAUUAUUGAAUCUGUAUUAUGUUAGAUAUAUUAUUUUUUAUUUUAUUUCUUAAUAUGUAUUUUUUAUAUUUUAUUUUAAAAUAAAUGAGUAUGAGUUUCCCUCUUCUUAAAUAAGUAUUUAUUUGACAA